GUCCACCGCGCCACCUUCCUGUUCAAGUGAGCACAGCACAACAAGGUGAGACCAACAAUGUACUUUGUGCUGCUGCAUAAAUUGUGUAAUAUGCCAGGGAGAUAUGUAUACUGUAGCUAAGAAAGUAAUACUAAGUGUAUGUUGUGUAGUAAGCUGUUAGUAGCCCAUGUGCCUCACCCUAAUAAUUUGGUCAAUUUUCCCCUCAUAAUUUAGCCUACUGUUCUGACUUGGUGGUGCACAUGUAGCCUAUAACAUCCUAUGGCGUUCUGCAUUAGCAUCGAACAGCCCCCAUGAUAUGCAACUUUUCAGGGAAGCUAGAAACCAAUAUACACAGGCAGUUAGAAAAGCCAAGGCUAGCUUUUUCAAGCAGAAAUUUGCUUCCUGCAACACAAACUCAAAAAAGUUCUGGGACACUGUAAAGUCCAUGGAGAAUAAGAACACCUCCUCCCAGCUGCCCACUGCACUGAGGAUAGGAAACACUGUCACCACCGAUAAAUCCACUAUAAUUGAGAAUUUCAAUAAGCAUUUUUCUACGGCUGGCCAUGCUUUCCACCUGGCUACCCCUACCCCGGUCAACAGCACUGCACCCCCCACAGCAACGCGCCCAAGCCUUCCCCAUUUCUCCUUCUCCCAAAUCCAGUCAGCUGAUGUUCUGAAAGAGCUGCAAAAUCUGGACCCCUACAAAUCAGCGGGGCUAGACAAUCUGGACCCUUUCAAAAAUGAUCUGCCAAAAUUGUUGCAACCCCUAUUACUUGCCUGUUCAACCUCUCUUUCGUGUCGUCUGAGAUUCCCAAAGAUUGGAAAGCAGCGGUCAUCCCCCUCUUCAAAGGGGGGGGGGGGGGGUACACNNNNNNNNNNCUCCUCCCAGCUGCCCACUGCACUGAGGAUAGGAAACACUGUCACCACCGAUAAAUCCACUAUAAUUGAGAAUUUCAAUAAGCAUUUUUCUACGGCUGGCCAUGCUUUCCACCUGGCUACCCCUACCCCGGUCAACAGCACUGCACCCCCCACAGCAACGCGCCCAAGCCUUCCCCAUUUCUCCUUCUCCCAAAUCCAGUCAGCUGAUGUUCUGAAAGAGCUGCAAAAUCUGGACCCCUACAAAUCAGCGGGGCUAGACAAUCUGGACCCUUUCAAAAAUGAUCUGCCAAAAUUGUUGCAACCCCUAUUACUUGCCUGUUCAACCUCU
rnacentral:lncRNA from 13 species